rnacentral:lncRNA from 1 species
CUUGUCAACUGCAGGGGUUAUUUUCCUGCUGGUUGGCCAAACUGGUUAGGAAGAUAAAGAUCUCAGAAAAUAAGGAGUAUGAGGAGAAACAAUAAAAACUGGCACUGAAUGUAUGGGAAUGCAUGCAUGUCUCCUUCCACAACAAACCAGGCUUGGCUACAUAAAAACUCCAGGCCUGGUAUGUAGCCCUUCUCUUGAAUCACCUUCAUUUGUCUGGGAAACAGAAAAGUUACUGUUUCCUCAUCUGUGAGAGGUAAGUAUUCUGUAUCUGCAUUUGUCCUUUUCAAAAAGGUACUUACAUGAGCUUGGUCUUUGGGCCAUAUAUUGUGAAGGUGGAUAUAAACAGGUCAGCAGGAGGGGAGCAAUAAGUAUUAUAAUUUUUUUGUUUAACAGACCAAAGUAAGUAUGUGUGUGUAAAAAUAGCUUAGAUUUUGAAACUUGGUUUAUAAGAUUAAAUAAUUAGUAAAUUUGGCCAGGCACAGUGGCUCACGCCUUGUAAUCCCAGCACUUUGGGAGGCUGAGGCGGAUGGAUCACCUGAGGUCAGGAGUUCCAGACCAGGCUGGCCAACGUGGUGAGACCCCGUCUCUACUAAAAAUACAGAAAAAAUUAGCUGGGCGUGGUGGUGCAUGCUUGUAAUCACAGGUACUCAGGAGGGCUCUGAGCAGGCAGGAGAAUUGCUUGAACCUGGGAGACAGAAGUUGCAGUGAAUUGAGAUCAUGCCACUGCACUCAAGCCUGGGUGAUAGAGUGAGACUCUGUCUCAAAAACAAAACAAAACAAAAUUAAAUACUUAGUAAACUGUGGUGUGAUCUUGGCUCACUGCAGCCUUGACCUCCCAAGGCACAUGCUUGUAGAGAAAAUAGAGUCAUAGGGUCUCCCUGUGUUGCUCAAGCUGGUCUCAAACUCCUGGCCUCAAGCAAUCCUCUCACCUCAGCCUCCCAAAGUGCUGGGAUUAUAGGCGUGAGCCACCUCAAUUGUUAAACAUGUAGGUUAUUUCUUAAUUUUUGCUAUUACAAACAUAUAUAUAACAAAUUUUGGGGCUAGGCUGGGUGACUCACACCUGUAAUCCCAACAUUUUGGGAGGCCGAAGUAGGAGAAUCACUUAAGCCCAGGAGUUUGAAACCAGCUUGGACAAGAUAGUGAAACUCUAUCUCUACAAAAAAUUAAAAAAAAAAUAUAUAUUGGCCAGGCAUGGUGGUACAUGCCUGUAGUCCUAGCUACUCUGCAGGCUGAGGCAGGAGGAUCUCUGUAGCCCAGGAAUUCAAGGCAGCAGUGAGCUAUGAUUGC